AUUGAACGCUGGCGGCAGGCCUAACACAUGCAAGUCGAGCGGAGCGGCGGACGGGUGAGUAAUACCUAGGAAUCUGCCUGGUACUGGGGGAUAACGUCCGGAAACGGGCGCUAAUGCCACAUACCAUCAGCUAAGCGUUGGGGGGAGUAGCUAGUGGGUGGGGUAAAGGCCGACCACGGCGACGAUCCGUAACUGGUCUGAGAGGAUGAUCAGUCACACUGGAACUGAGACACGGUCCAGACUCCUACGGGAGGCAGCAGUGGGGAAUAUUGGACAAUGGGCGAAAGCCUGAUCCAGCCAUGCCGCGUGUGUGAAGAAGGUCUUCGGAUUGUAAAGCACUUUAAGUUGGGAGGCGUUACCAACAGAAGAAGCACCGGCUAACUUCGUGCCAGCAGCCGCGGUAAUAC
rnacentral:rRNA from 1 species